ensembl:lncRNA
CUAGAUACCUUCCAUUUUUCAUAGAACUCAGCCCUUAAUCCCUGAAAACAGGCUGCAAAAAUUGACUCUGUUGAUUAGUUCUUGUCAGGUGUUUUUCCCCACUUUUCAAUUUGCUUCACAAGGACCUCCUCAUAUCACUCUUUCUUGAUGUUGAAAAAUGGACAGGAUCUUGACACUGCACAUUCCCUAGUCAUCAUGUCACAGUGGCCUGGAGUGAUCCAAAGUUUGCUGUGGACGAGUAUGUGGGAAUGCUACCUGUCUCUGGUGUUGAAGAGUGGAUAACUGCUCUGUUUCCUUCAUUUUCUAUCCAACGGCUCACAUGGGUGAAAAACACCUCCCUUCUCUCAGGUGGGAGCCAUCAAGUUGAGGUUUAAGUUUGAUUCAACUCAAUGAGAAUGGUGGUUCUUUAAAAGGAUGCAGAGAAAUCUCACAGAGCUCAAGGACAAGAUGUGAAGCUGGGCUUAAUGGGAACCAGGAAGCAAUCAAGAAAGGAGACUCUCUUUUUCUUUUUUUGGAGCUGCAUAGAUGAUCUCUUUUUGUCUUCUCUGUAAAUUUCUGGUUCUCUCCACCCAUUGCCGUCCUUUGCUGAUCUUCAUCAAGAUCCAAAGUGGCCAUCAGAUCUACACAGCAAUCCUUCGGUUCCUAUAGCUGCCACUCAUUGGCUGGAAAACGUGUCGUUUAGUUCAAAAGCCUUAAGUUAGAAAAAUCUCAGAGGGUAAUGUCCAGUCAGUGGAUUAGGUAGGCUUGAGCCAGUGUCCAUCUCUGGGCAAUCAGCCAUGAUCAGGGCCAGCAGAGUCAUACAGUGGGUGCAGCUGCCUGUGUGUUAGGCUAUGGGAAAGUUCAUGUUCUGAGUUGGGCAUGCAACAGAUCUGAAUACAGGAAGUUCCCAGGAUGCCAUGGUUUCCAGACUUCUGUGAUGCUGAAAUUGAGAAGGAAGAGGAAUACUGAAAUUCUUCAAGGACUGUUGGAUACAGGGUGGAGCUGUAACCAAUACUGAGGACCCAUUUUAUGGCAUAAGAAAUACAACAGAGAGCAUAUGACCAUGGACCCCACUGGUCCUAAAAAAUUGCUGGAGUCCAGCUCCAAUAGAGUCCAGGUUCCUGAGGGAUGAACGGCGUCGGCAAAGAGAUUGAGACUGCACACCAGGUCCUUGACUAGCUCAAACAAUCAUUUAUCUUCUAAAGAACUUCAGUGAUUUGGGACCAAGUAUUCAGCACAUAGAAUUAAUCUUUUAUAAGAAGAUCUAGUUUUAAAAUGACAUUUUAGUAA